AUUGAACGCUGGCGGCAGGCCUAACACAUGCAAGUCGGACGAGUGGCGAACGGGUGAGUAACAUAUCGGAACGUACCGAGUAAUGGGGGAUAACUACUCGAAAGAUUAGCUAAUACCGCAUAUUAUUCGAGCGGCCGAUAUCUGAUUAGCUGGUUGGUGGGGUAAAGGCCUACCAGGGCGACGAGCCCUAGCUGGUCUGAGAGGAUGAUCAGCCACACUGGGACUGAGACACGGCCCAGACUCCUACGGGAGGCAGCAUUGGGGAAUAUUGCACAAUGGGCGCAAGCCUGAUGCAGCCAUGCCGCGUGUAUGAAGAAGGCCCUAGGGUUGUAAAGUACUUUCAGUCGGGAGGCGUUACCGACAGAAGAAGCACCGGCUAACUCCGUGCCAGCAGCCGCGGUAAUAC
rnacentral:rRNA from 1 species